UUUAAGCAAAAAAAAAACUCAAUAUCCCAAAAUACACUGCACAUUCAGCAUAGUCUAUGGAGUAGCUUUAAAAAAUCUUAAACUUAUCUUAAACACUAAUUCAACAGCUUUGGAGAGAACGUUGCAACCGUUAGCAAGAUAGAAAGGAGAGUAAGAUACAGAAAAAGGGGCUCAUACUCUUUAUUCAGGACUAUCUUCCACCACCAAUUUCAUUAGGUCCUUUCUUUGCUUUCUGUUUUUUCUUAUGCUCAAUUUUCUUAGUUGAAACUCAUUAUUGUAUCCUCAUUUUUAUAUAUUGUGGCAUUAUGUCUCACGUACUGCAACUUUCCUUUCUCAUUCUAUACAUUCAUUAAACAAUGGCAUAUG
rnacentral:lncRNA from 1 species